UUUACAGGCUUAACACAUGCAAGUCGAGGGGCAGCAUGGUCUUAGCUUGCUAAGACUGAUGGCGACCGGCGCACGGGUGAGUAACACGUAUCCAACCUGCCGUCUACUCUUGGACAGCCUUCUGAAAGGAAGAUUAAUACAAGAUGGCAUCAUGAGUCCGCAUGUUCACAUGAUUAAAGGUAUUCCGGUAGACGAUGGGGAUGCGUUCCAUUAGAUAGUAGGCGGGGUAACGGCCCACCUAGUCUUCGAUGGAUAGGGGUUCUGAGAGGAAGGUCCCCCACAUUGGAACUGAGACACGGUCCAAACUCCUACGGGAGGCAGCAGUGAGGAAUAUUGGUCAAUGGGCGAGAGCCUGAACCAGCCAAGUAGCGUGAAGGAUGACUGCCCUAUGGGUUGUAAACUUCUUUUAUAAAGGAAUAAAGUCGGGUAUGCAUACCCGUUUGCAUGUACUUUAUGAAUAAGGAUCGGCUAACUCCGUGCCAGCAGCCGCGGUAAUACGGAGGAUCCGAGCGUUAUCCGGAUUUAUUGGGUUUAAAGGGAGCGUAGAUGGAUGUUUAAGUCAGUUGUGAAAGUUUGCGGCUCAACCGUAAAAUUGCAGUUGAUACUGGAUAUCUUGAGUGCAGUUGAGGCAGGCGGAAUUCGUGGUGUAGCGGUGAAAUGCUUAGAUAUCACGAAGAACUCCGAUUGCGAAGGCAGCCUGCUAAGCUGCAACUGACAUUGAGGCUCGAAAGUGUGGGUAUCAAACAGGAUUAGAUACCCUGGUAGUCCACACGGUAAACGAUGAAUACUCGCUGUUUGCGAUAUACUGCAAGCGGCCAAGCGAAAGCGUUAAGUAUUCCACCUGGGGAGUACGCCGGCAACGGUGAAACUCAAAGGAAUUGACGGGGGCCCGCACAAGCGGAGGAACAUGUGGUUUAAUUCGAUGAUACGCGAGGAACCUUACCCGGGCUUAAAUUGCAGAUGAAUUACGGUGAAAGCCGUAAGCCGCAAGGCAUCUGUGAAGGUGCUGCAUGGUUGUCGUCAGCUCGUGCCGUGAGGUGUCGGCUUAAGUGCCAUAACGAGCGCAACCCUUGUUGUCAGUUACUAACAGGUUCCGCUGAGGACUCUGACAAGACUGCCAUCGUAAGAUGUGAGGAAGGUGGGGAUGACGUCAAAUCAGCACGGCCCUUACGUCCGGGGCUACACACGUGUUACAAUGGAGGGUACAGAGGGCCGCUACCACGCGAGUGGAUGCCAAUCCCCAAAACCUCUCUCAGUUCGGACUGGAGUCUGCAACCCGACUCCACGAAGCUGGAUUCGCUAGUAAUCGCGCAUCAGCCACGGCGCGGUGAAUACGUUCCCGGGCCUUGUACACACCGCCCGUCAAGCCAUGGGAGCCGGGGGUACCUGAAGUGCGUAACCGCGAGGAGCGCCCUAGGGUAAAACUGGUGACUG
rnacentral:rRNA from 1 species